rnacentral:rRNA from 1 species
GGCUAGCGUUGCUCGGAAUCACUGGGCGUAAAGCGCACGUAGGCGGCUUUUUAAGUCAGAGGUGAAAGCCUGGAGCUCAACUCCAGAACUGCCAUUGAAACUGUUGGACUUGAGUACGAGAGAGGUGAGUGGAAUUCCCAGUGUAGAGGUGAAAUUCGUAGAUAUUGGGAAGAACACCGGUGGCGAAGGCGGCUCACUGGCUCGUAACUGACGCUCAGGCGCGACAGCGUGGGGAUCAAACAGG